UACCUAGAGUAUGGGAGGGGGAGAUGGAAUUAGUGGUGUAGGGGUAAAAUCCGUAGAUAUCACUAGGAAUACCGAAAGCGAAGGCGAUCUCCUGGAACAAUACUGACGCUAAGGCGUGAAAGCGUGGGGAGCAAACGGGAUUAGAUACCCCGGUAGUCCACGCCCUAAACGAUGUUCACUAGUCGUCGGAAUGCUAGUCAUUUCGGUGAUGCACUUAACACAUUAAAUGUACCGCCUGGGGAGUACGGUCGCAAGAUUAAAACUCAAAGGAAUAGACGGGGACCCGCACAAGCGGUGGAGCAUGUGGUUUAAUUCGACGAUACGCGAAGAACCUUACCUGGCCUUGACAUAGAAAGAAUUUAGCAGAGAUGUAAAAGUGCUAGUUUACUAGAGCUUUCAUACAGGUGCUGCACGGCUGUCGUCAGCUCGUGUCGUGAGAUGUUAGGUUAAGUCCUGCAACGAGCGCAACCCUCGUGUUUAGUUACUAACAGAUUAUGCUGAGGACUCUAGACAUACUGCCUGGGCAACCAGGAGGAAGGUGAGGACGACGUCAAGUCAUCAUGGCCCUUACGGCCAGGGCUACACACGUGCUACAAUGGGGUAUACAAAGAGCAGCGAUACCGCGAGGUGGAGCAAAUCUCAUAAAAUAUCUCCCAGUUCGGAUUACACUCUGCAACUCGAGUGUAUGAAGUUGGAAUC
rnacentral:rRNA from 1 species